GACUGGGGCGGUACACCUGUCAAAGCAUAACACAGGUGUCCUAAGGCGAGCUCAGGGAGGCCAGAAACCUCCAGUGGAGCAGAAGGGCAAAAGCUCGCUUGACCUUGAUUGCACUACCUUAUUAACAGAAGG
rnacentral:ncRNA from 1 species